CUGGUCUCUGCUGGAGGAUCCGGGUCUGUCCAUGGUGGACUGGUCUCUGCUGGAGCCUGAGUUAAAGGAGGUUCUGGUGGACGUGCAUCACCAGAAUCCUCCCCAGUGGCACCAGUAGAUUCUGAAUAUCUAGUCUCCUUUUCAGUCUCCUUUACUUAUGAGGUCACGUUGCCAUCAGGACGGUAUUUUGUUUUAUUUCCAUCGUCAGUUUCAGAUCCUCGGAGGAAGGAACUGCAGGUUGUGUCCUCGACGUUGCACCCAGAGGGUCAUGGGACGUGGGAUGUGUGUGGCUUUAGACUUGUGAAAUGCUGAGUGUGUUUUCGACAUCAGUGAAAACCGAGUCAAGCUUUUGUUUCCUAUUCAGAUGGGUGGAGUCAUGUGAAGGCCUCAUGACGGAUGUCUGUCAGCUUCGUUGAAAAUAUUCAGGGUGUUUUGUGUCUGAGUAGAAGUUAAUGCUCUCAGACCGACUGUAUUUCUCUCCCUCGUGUUUCAAAACCACCAGGAACAAAAGCAGACGUGGACUCCUCUAAAGUCCCCUCGGAUCCGUGGAACGUGGGAGAAGCACUGACGCUCUCGUGUUACAGGGACGCACAAAGACGGGGAGAUUAGAGGAGACAAUGCGGAUACGUCUCGCCUCAUUUAUUGGCCAUGACAUGCCUUUUAUUUUGGCGGGAUGUGUCAGACCUGUACUUAACUUACCCGGACCACUUCCUGUAUGUUGCAUAUAUACAGUGCAUAUAUUGUUAAAUAUAUAGAGAGAGAGAGACUAUAUAUGGUGGUUAAACUGCAUAUGUGCCCACGUGGAGAACACUCGUCCCUGAUUGAACUGGUUCUGGAGGGACGUUACUGUGUCGACUGCACGCUCACAAAUUGUUUUCUGGUUACUGAGCACACAUGGACACGCACACAGACACGCACACACGUGUUUCACCGUCUGUCACGAAUAAACAAUUAAACAGAGGAACCUGAGGAACAGAGGAACCUGUAGGCUGGUGUGAUUAUAGAAGAAACAACAGCUCAUCUGUUGUUGUUGUGUUUCUGUUACUUCUGUUGUUAGUUGUCACGCCUCUUUAAUUCAGUGUGCAUCAGUUCACUUUGUAAACUCUGCUUUUUAAGGCGCUAAAUAAACCAAAGCACUGCUGUUCGUUUCAAUGUCAUGCUCUCUCUCGUGGGAAUAAGAAAGCACACCUGCCCUCCCCUCCUCCCUCCUCCCUCCUCCAUCCUCCAUCCUCUCUCUCUGCCUCACCUGGAGCUCAGGUACAGCAACCAGAGAACGUGUGUGUGUGAGAGAGAGACACCUGUGAUGAUGUCACUGGCUCUAGUAAGAAACACCGACAGCGUUUCCCUCUGCAGAGACCAUGUCAAUUGUUGUUUUGCUCCCUGCUGUUUUGUUUUGAAUGAUUUUGUUUACCAUCCACACAUGAAGCAGUUAGCCGACACACUCCGAGGACACAACCACAACACGCGUUCGCUCCGAAGCGCCGUUUCACAACAUCCUCAUGAAGAGUCCAACUGCUGCUGUGUGCGUAGCUCUGGAUUCCCAGUGAGAGAACCAGAAGGACCAGUCGGGGAGGGCAAUUUGAUGACAAUAUUAGUCAUCAAAUUGUCUGCUGUUUCUUUGUCACUCAUACAACACAACAUGUGGGAAUAUGUUUUACCAACUUAAAUUAUUCCACAUGAGGCUGGAGAACAAGAUCAGCAGGUUCUCCUGAAGGGAAAAGAAACGUUGUGUCUUUGAAGCCUGUGAAGAAACAAAGAAACAAAGUGGUUUCAGGCGAUUUAACAAAGCUGCACUGCCCCUUUAAGGAGCUUCAUUUGCUUUGUCUUAAUAUUAAUAUUCUUAAUAUUCUUGACAUUCAUUGGAGCAAAGCAAAUACCCUGGUAAUUAUUUAACAAAUUCCUCUUACUUAGCGACCCAAACGUCACGCGAAACGCAGGCGUUUCCCCAGAAAGCGGCCGUGGACACAAAGGCAGCAGCUCUCACACGCAGGUGUGAUUGAAAGGUGACUCAUCACAGCAAGAGAGGCAGCAAGCGACCGCGCUUCACUCACAUCCACAAUUCCCCCGACAGGAAGUCAGUGUUUGUGGGUCUCAGUGUCUCUGCAGACGCAGUCGAAGAGGAAGAGGAAGAGGUUGUUUGUUGUAUUUGGUUGCUGCAGUAACAAAGAUGUUACUGUUAAUCUUCAUUAACAUGCAUCUCGACAAAAAAUAGGAUAUAAAAAUCUUCGUUAAUUACAAUAUUAAUGUUGAGAUUUAUGUGGAUUCAUUGUUGCCAUUGUUUACUGUUUGAAACUAUGAUUUACUCCCUCAGUAAACAUUGUAAACAUGCGUUUAUGGUCUCAAUCUCUAGUUUCAGGUAAAGCGUGAUGUUCAUUCAGUAAAUUAGGGUCCAUUUAAAGUCGAACCGAGCUGGAGAUGAGAGAGGAGCGGCUCCACCUCGACACAAACAAACGCCGCUGGAACGACAUCAAGGUCCUUCUGUUGAGAGCCACGCACACGCACACACACACACACACACACACACUCCUCAAACAUUUCACAUCAAACCACCGCCUCUAAUGGGCCAUUUCCUCUGCAGUAAACCCAGAGAGUCCCUCUACGCGCGGGUGGGUGUGGCUGAGCAGACAGAAUCAGAGCCCACAGAACAGCCGUGUUGUUCCUGAGAAGCCAUCGAGCGCCAGAGGCCGCGACCGCGCAGGAGGUCGUUCCACUGAAUAACGGCACAAUCGGGCUGCAGCCGUGGGUGCUUUUGGGACACUUGAGGUCCGUGCGUGGGACCUAACCUUGUCCCCGGCAACGGGAUUGGGUCAAGCCGAGCCUCGAGGACGGACGACGGCCCAAGUUCGUGUAAACAAAAGCUCCUCGAGCAUUCCUGCAGAAAUAUGGAGGGGAGAAAGAGCCCAGACGGAGAGGAUGCACCCGGUCGGCUGCCAUGGAGCGAAAGAUGACGCCAUAUAAGGCAGCAGGAAUCUUCCCCUUUCGCCUGCGCAAAGGCCGAACACGGGGAAGGACCUUUGUGCUUCUGUCUCUGGGCCAAGCAGAGAUUUAAAAACGCAUCUGAAACUGUAUUUGAUUUGCGUCCGUUGAAAUGUGUGGUGGAGGAAAGCAGGAGCCGCUGCUCCACAAUGAGGGUGCGUCUCUUUGUUCAUUAACGAACCAUCAGCCUCACAAUAAUCCUCUCCUGAUCAUGUUGUAGUUUUAAUUAUAGUUCUUUCCUCUCGAGGAGCGAGAGAUCCCUUUGACCAUGAAAGGAGUCGUCCUCGUCCUCGGUGAGGGUCUGAGGGACGGAGGGAGUCUCACGCCGCGAGACCGUAAGAGAGACGCUGGUGGUCGUGUGAGGACACGUCGACUCCGUGUGGCUCUGAAGAAGGAAGAGCAGCAUCGACCUGUGAACGAAGCGACGUCACUUUAGCGCCCGAGGAGCAGGUGCGUGUUCGCCGCGUCGAUGUCACAGAGACAUUAAGUCAGUCAACCCUGUGCAGGCAGCGUGAGCCCGGCGAGUGAGAAGAGACGUGAAGGACGAAAGGUGAGAAGAUGGAGAGGGUCCCCGAUAGACCAGCAUGCACUGCAGCGCCCUGCCUUUUCGCCACUGUCAUUGCUCUCUCUCUCUCUCUCUCGCGUGCAACCGGCCACCAACAUUCCCACCGAGUUGUUCUCGGCCCAGAUGCAUUCUGGGAAACCGGGGUGGGAGCCGUAAAAGCGGCGAUGAAGCAGCAGGUCUUUGCUCUGAAGGGCCGCCGAGGAAGACACGCGAGGGAUCCACGGAGCACUUCACCCUCCGGACGGUUCGAUGCCGCACAGAGCAGAACGGAGGCUUUGUGCCGCGGAGGUCGGGCUUGUGGUGACUGUUUACUCGGCCGAACACUGCCACCAUUCACCCCCCCUCCAGCGGGCCCGAGCCGCCCAGUGGUCAACUGGACACACACAUUCACAUGUCCCCGGGACGUCCCGGAGACACGGAGAACAUCUAUAUUUAUUAUUAAAGCUGCAGCAACAGGCUGAUGGUCGCUGCAAAGAGAUUUGAGCGACUGACUAUAUUCCUAAACCCACCUGUGACUCUGUGUCACAGGUGCAUGCUGGGAAAUCCUCCGUCCUACAAGUAGAACACACUCAAAGGCCCGCGUGCACGACGGAGGAAGAGGCGUAAAAGCUCCGUGAACUUUGAGAGGAAAGUAUUCUGAGAAUUAAGCUGAAAGGCCUCCUCACUCCACUUGCCAAUAAAGACCAAUAAAACAGAGUUAAUAAAAAACAAUCAUUGAAAUAUUAACAGUAGGUAAUGCAAUAAAGAGUCCCCAAUCAACCUGAUCCCCGGAGCAUGUCUCUGGACUGUGGGAGGAAGCCGGAGAACCCGGAGAGAACCCACGCAGACACGGGGAGAACAUGCACAGAAAGGCCGCUGGGCGGAGUGGAACCAGGACCUUCUUGCUGUGAGGCGCGGCGUUGACCACCACGCCGCCGUGCCGCCCUCAAACCAAAAUAUUCAAUAGGAUAAAGAUAUAUUUUGUGUUUCGUGGACUUUGCAGGAAUGUGAUCACAGGCUAAAAGCGCAGCAGCGCCGCCGUGUGGACGGAAGCGGUAUGCAGGGAUUCUGCGAUGAGUCAGCACAUCUGUAGCGCAACUCUCACAACUGCGCUCCAGCGUCAAUCAUAUGU